UACGUAGGUGGCAAGCGUUGUCCGGAUUUAUUGGGUUUAAAGGGUGCGUAGGCGGCUUUGUAAGUCAGUGGUGAAAUAUGGCAGCUCAACUGUCAAGGUGCCAUUGAUACUGCGGAGCUUGAGUACAGAUGAGGUAGGCGGAAUUGACGGUGUAGCGGUGAAAUGCGUAGAUAUCGUAAGGAAGACCAGUGGCGAAGGCGGGUCUCUGGACAGUUCCUGACGCUGAGGCACGAAGGUCAGGGGAGCAAACGGG
rnacentral:rRNA from 1 species